AUUGAACGCUGGCGGCAGGCCUAACACAUGCAAGUCGAACGAGUGGCGGACGGGUGAGUAAUGUCUGGGAAACUGCCCGAUGGAGGGGGAUAACUACUGGAAACGGUAGCUAAUACCGCAUACCAUCGGAUGUGCCCAGAUGGGAGUAGCUUGUAGGUGAGGUACCGGCUCACCUAGGCGACGAUCCCUAGCUGGUCUGAGAGAAUGACCAGCCAAACGGGAAAUGAGACAGGGUCCAGCCUCCUCCGGGAGGCAGCAGUGGGGAAUAUUGCACAAUGGGCGAAAGCCUGAUGCAGCCAUGCCGCGGGUAUGAAGAAGGCCUUCGGGUUGUAAAGUACUUUCAGCGGGGAGGCGUUACCCGCAGAAGAAGCACCGGCUAACUCCGUGCCAGCAGCCGCGGUAAUUC
rnacentral:rRNA from 1 species